ACAAACUCCCUGCACAUGGCUGGAUGCGGAGCCACCAGCUACUCCUGCCCUCACAUCUCACGACUGUGCUAAAGAAAAAACAAAAUAGAACAUCGUGGCUAAAAUUGCCCACCUCCUCACCCCAAGCUGGAUGCCAGCUGAAGAGUCCCAGGAGAAGAACAUUUGGCUUAGCCCAGGUCAGAGGCGCUGGAUGCGAGUGGAUUACUAGAAGCCACCAUUGGCACCUGAUAGUUUGAGUGUGAGAGAAGCAGUUUUCCUGAAGAAUGGAGGUGGUGUCCUCAGAAAAGAAGAAGGGUCCAAGAUUAUGAAAGCGAUACAUGCUCACGCAAAAGAGGGUUGGCGCAAGGUCUGGCCUUCUCCUCACCACUCUCUAGUGAGGGUGCCCUUAGCAAAUUGAUUAAGUAUCUGUCUAGUGGGGAAAGUGAAACCUGCCCCUGCCUUACGUGGUGAUGUGAGGGGCAGACUACAGAACAGAUUGAAAGUGGCCUUGAAAAGUUUAAAGUGUGAUACCAAUGAAAGGAAGAGUGGGUAGCGACCUUUGGUGCUGCCAGAAGAAAAGCGUGCAGGACAUUGUGGCAAAAGUGGGGUGCACAGCAGGCACAGCCUGCCAACUCCAUCCUUCUGCCACUUCCCAUCUGGGUCCUUGGCCUCACUGGAAAUCGGGCCCGGGGACUAGAAUACGUUUGCCCGUUUGCCCUGGCUUUUGUCUCUCUGAGCUGGGUGUGGGGCCAUGAUAGGAUGAGCGCCUCUUGCCCGUGGUUGCAGUGGGAGCACCAGAGGACACAUGCUGAAAAUACUAUCCUGGGGUGAAGGCCAAGGUCAUGGCCAGUGAGUGAGUCCAAACCGUCUCAUAAAUUAACAUAACUCUUAGGAAACUGGGAACUGAGUUAAUGGAGCCAAAGUGAGUGGUGUGGAGCCACAGGGAGAGCCAUGAAUCUUCAGAGGGAGCCAGUACCACCAGCCACACUGCCCAAGACUUCCAGGGCUUUGCCUCACGGGCUUGCAGGCAGCUGGGCCCACUGCGGCAGAAGGGAGCCAGGCCCCUCAGACACAGCCAGGGAAAGCUUCAUUGCUCAUGUGCUAGAUCAGGCCACAGGUCCCCAGGGACUCCCCAAGUUGAUUCUGUCCUCUAAUUUAAAGCUUGUCACUGACAGGAAAUUCUACUCUUUAGUUAUCUUAAUCCCAAACAGUCAUGAUACACACAGAGCCAAUUUCAGGUCUAAUCGUGUUACCUUUAUCCAAGUAGAAAUCAAUCCCCAUUUUUGUGUAGCUCUGCAGAACAUCCAGAGUGCUUCAGCACAGAGCAAAGCCCCAGGAGUUACGAGUGCUAGCAUCACAUGGGAGAAAGGAGUUGAUCACUCUGUGUGUGUGGAGUGCGAAGGGAUGGGAGGUUCAAGUGAGCCUCCUGCCUCAGCCUCCCGCAAUGCUGUGACUUUCAAUAUGGGGCCCUCCCUCCUCUUCAUCGCCAGUGCUGUGGGCACAUAUUUACUGAGCAGUGGCAGCUCUUUCGCCAGAGAUGCCCAGGAAGCAGCCCUGAGUCUAAUGUUGCUGCUGCAUCAGCCUUGCUUUUGCUGA
rnacentral:lncRNA from 13 species